GACGAACGCUGGCGGCGUGCUUAACACAUGCAAGUCGAACGAACAGGCCCUGCUUUUGCUCCUUGCUCGAUUGCCGAACAGGUGAGAAACACACGAGUAACCUCCCCUUGACUUAGUGAUAUCUUCUCGGAACUGCGGACUAUACCCCAUAUAAUCUUCCCUGACAUCGCACUGGGGUCGUUGGAAAGUAUCGGUUUGCGUAUCAUGUACUCACGGAUUCUCACCUUGUUAGCGAGGUAGUGACUUACCAACGUUCUUGACGGGACGACACCCUGACAAGCUGACCGGCCGAUUUGCCACUGAGAUACUGACCACAACUCCUACACUACGACGCGAAGCAGAAUAUUGCACAUCUGCCCCGAUGCCUGAUGCCCUGACGCCAGCAUGCCCGAUGACGUGCUUCAGGUCGUCAAACCCUUUCACCCGGUACUAAGCGAGAAUGAUACUUGUGAGUAACUAUGCACCUCUUGACUACACCUCAUCAGACACCCACAUACAUCUACUGCCAGCCUUCCCCGGAUUUAUUGAGCUGACAAGCCUCAUACGUAAUUAAUCGCCUCAGAGCUCUCAUCUUGGGUCUUAUCCCUCAGAGUGCUUUCGACACGGCUCGACUUGAGAGGGUCAUUGGAAACUGGAAAACUUGAGUGCAGAAGAGGAAAGUGGAAUUCCAUGUGUAGCGGUGAAAUGCGCAGAGAUAUGGAGGAACACCAGUGGCGAAGGCGACUUUCUGGUCUGUAACUGACGCUGAUGUGCGAAAGCGUGGGGAUCAAACAGGAUUAGAUACCCUGGUAGUCCACGCCGUAAACGAUGAGUGCUAAGUGUUAGGGGGUUUCCGCCCCUUAGUGCUGCAGCUAACGCAUUAAGCACUCCGCCUGGGGAGUACGACCGCAAGGUUGAAACUCACAGGAAUUGACGGGGACCCGCACAAGCGGUGGAGCAUGUGGUUUAAUUCUAAGCAACGCGAAGAACCUUACCAAAUCUUGACAUCCUUUGACAACUCUAGAGAUAGAGCCUUCCCCUUCGGGGGACAAAGUGACAGGUGGUGCAUGGUUGUCGUCAGCUCGUGUCGUGAGAUGUUGGGUUAAGUCCCGCAACGAGCGCAACCCUUAAGUUUAGUUGCCAUCAUUAAGUUGGGCACUCUAAGUUGACUGCCGGUGACAAACCGGAGGAAGGUGGGGAUGACGUCAAAUCAUCAUGCCCCUUAUGAUUUGGGCUACACACGUGCUACAAUGGACAAUACAAAGGGCAGCGAAAUCGCGAGGUCAAGCAAAUCCCAUACAGUUGUUCUCACUUCGGAUUGUAGUCUGCAACUCGACUACAUGAAGCUGGAAUCGCUAGUAAUUGCAGAUCAGCAUGCUGCGGUGAAUACGUUCCCGGGUCU
rnacentral:rRNA from 1 species